rnacentral:misc_RNA from 1 species
AACCAUUCUCACCUGCGGCUAGACCUGCGGAGGGAUCAUUACAGAGUGUAAAAACUCCCAAAACCCAUGUGAACAUACCUUUUUGUUGCUUCGGCGGGAUCGCCCCGGGCGCCUUGUGUGCCCCGGAGUCAGGCGCCCGCCGGGGGACCCAAACUCUUGUUUUUAACGAGUAUCUUCUGAGUAACGUUUUUAAAUAAAUAAAAACUUUUAGCAAUGGAUCU